rnacentral:rRNA from 1 species
GACGAACGCUGGCGGCGUGCCUAAUACAUGCAAGUUGAGCGCUGAAGGUUGGUACUUGUACCGACUGGAUGAGCAGCGAACGGGUGAGUAACGCGUGGGGAAUCUGCCUUUGAGCGGGGGACAACAUUUGGAAACGAAUGCUAAUACCGCAUAAAAACUUUAAACACAAGUUUUAAGUUUGAAAGAUGCAAUUGCAUCACUCAAAGAUGAUCCCGCGUUGUAUUAGCUAGUUGGUGAGGUAAAGGCUCACCAAGGGGAUGAUACAUAGCCGACCUGAGAGGGAGAUCGGCCACAUUGGGACUGAGAAACGGCCCAAACUCCUACGGGAGGCAGCAGUAGGGAAUCUUCGGCAAUGGACGAAAGUCUGACCGAGCAACGCCGCGUGAGUGAAGGAGGUUUUCGGAUCGUAAAACUCUGUUGGUAGAGAAGAACGUUGGUGAGAGUGGAAAGCUCAUCAAGUGACGGUAACUACCCAGAAAGGGACGGCUAACUACGUGCCAGCAGCCGCUUAA